UCUCACCGCAGCACGAGCAAGCUAAGUGCCCAGGAAAAACAUUAGAAUUCACUCAUCUCAGUGUAGCACCGGCCAUACAGCUGCUGAGUUUGGAAAGGCCGUAUGAAAAGGGCGGAGGCUGCGGCGCGUUGCUCUGGCUGCCGAGGCCGCUCUGGAGCAGAUCGCGGAAGCCCAGGCACGCGUGGAACGGGACUGCCUGUUCCACACGGUACUCCUGCCCCUUCUCGUGACAUCUGUUGUUCCUUUUAUUUGCAUUUGAGGAAUAGAUGACAGGAAAAGAACUCAGGGAGCGAAUCCACGCGGUGCAGAGCCCGAUCUCCAGCUCGGCCACAGGCUGCAAACCCGCCCGUUGUUCAUUGUGGCAGCAAAGCCUGGCUAGCAGGGGAAAAACCAAACCAAAACUGGCUAAGGAGAAGCACAGGAUGUUAAUCUGCCAUUAAAUCGGACUGGCGGUGUGAACAGCUGACGGACUGCAGA